rnacentral:rRNA from 1 species
GACGAACGCUGGAGGCGUGCUUAACACAUGCAAGUCGAACGAUGAAAUGGAGCUUGCUCCAUGGAUUAGUGGCGAACGGGUGAGUAACACGUGAAUAACCUGCCCUUAAUUUUGGAAUAACCCAGGGAAACCUGGGCUAAUACCGGAUAAGUAAACCUGUGGCAUCACAUGGUUUUGGAAAGUCUUUCGAUUAAGGAUGGAUUCGCGGCCUAUUAGCUUGUUGGUGAGGUAAUGGCUCACCAAGGCGACGACGGGUAGCCGGCCUGAGAGGGUGAACGGCCACACUGGGACUGAGACACGGCCCAGACUCCUACGGGAGGCAGCAGUGGGGAAUAUUGCGCAAUGGACGAAAGUCUGACGCAGCGACGCCUCGUGAGGGACGAAGGUCUUCGGAUUGUAAACCUCUUUCAGCAGGGACGAAGCGAAAGUGACGGUACCUGCAGAAGAAGCACCGGCUAACUAUGUGCCAGCCGCCGCAGUAA